CCAGAAACUAGCAAUGCCGAUUACAAUAACAAAAUGAAUUUUACAUUGCAAAAACUAGUCCAGAAAUCUUGAUACGGUCGUACUAAAAACACUACAAGAUUACAAUAACAAUGGUAAACCAUGUCCAUUACAAUUUAAUCUUUUUAACGAAUAACAUAAGCGGUUCAAUUUCAAUGAGCUCUUCCCUCUUGUUUCUCGUUCUUUUUAUCUCAUUUUCCCUUGCGGAUAGUACCAUUGAGUGAGAUCCCCACGUCCUUUUCUCCAUAGCAACAUUCAUCUUUUCCCUUCAAUAAUUUAUUCUUGAAAAAAUGGGACAAACAAACCUUCUAGGCUGAUUGCUUAAUUGGAAAUAGAGCCCUUCUUACAUUGCCAAAUGCUACAUGUAUCAUAGCAGAGUCAGCUUUGAGUUACUUUGGGAUAAAGUUGGCUCAGAUAACAAAACUCACAAUAUUAAAAGAUAUUUCUGGGAUCAUAAAACCAUCCAGGUAAAUUUCUGGACUUUGAUUUAAAAUGCAAAAAAAUGUACCAAACAAAGUAAAAAAUUAUGUUUCUUUGCUGCUGGUGUCAUAGGAUGACCCUUCUUUUAGGACCACCAUCCUCUGGUAGAACUACCCUAUUGUCGACUCUAGCAGGACAUUAAACUCUAACUUAAAGGUCGACUAAUCAAUAGCUAAGUUUACGAUAAUUCUAUGAAGUCAGUAGUUAAAUGUUUAAACUUUCAAUUCACUUUUCAAAAUGUUGAAUAGGCAAGUGGAGAGAUCAAUUACAAUGGACAUUGGCUCAAUGAAUUUGUCCCACUGAAAACAUCAAUAUACAUAGGCAAAAAUGAUGUUCAUGCUGUUGAAAUGAUAGUAAGAGACUCUAGAUUUCUCUACAAGGUGCUAAAGGGUUGGAUCUCGAUAUGCUACUUCCGAUUAAAUUCCAUGUGGCCCAUUGAUCUACUGUGAAAUUAAUCAUGGCUUUCUAACUGUAGUUUUUAGCGGUUCAUCAUAUUUUAUUAUUGAUGACUAAAUUGUAUAUUGUUUCUUUCCAGCUUUUACUGGGACAAAUAAUAUAGAGAUCAUAGCUGCAGCAAACACAAAUCCAAGGAUCAAGGCCUGAGGGACAUGUGGUGAGUACGAACCAAAAUAACAAUCAUUUUAGAGUAGAUAUUGAUAGUGAAACAAUAUCAGACGAAAUCGACAAGGCAGCGAACAAAUUUUACCUUUAAUUCAGUUCAAAUCACGGUCGCGAUUCAACAAACUGUUGAUUAUUGUAUCUGCAGUUCAAAUUUCGGCAGAUUGUUUGUACCCUUCUCACCGAUUGAAUUGAUUUCUGAAGUUAGGGUUCUUGAGUUGAAGUUGGGGAUUGCAACCAAGAACAAUUGAUUUGGGGAAGAUGAUUGGUUGAGGUAAAAUUAGGGUUUUUCGUCAUUUGGGAAGAUGAUUUGGGAGGAGAAAUUGAGAUUAUGAUUUGCAGCAAUGGAAUUUUUAUUUUUAAGUUGUGCUUCAUAAAAUUGGUAAGUCAUGUUUGGUAAGGUUCAAUUAAAUUUUGCUGAUGUGGAAGUUGAUUUUCACUAACUUACGACUUGGAAAGAGUUAAUCGGCCAUUUCAUUUUUUCAUCCACUACAUCAGCACGUCUAUGAACGAUUUUGAUCGAGUAAGUGAUGGAAUUGGACAGAGCAAAGUUUAGUGGCCAAUGGGACAACUGAUAAAGUUCAGUGAACAAAUCGUGACAUGGUAUAAAGUUCAAUGGGCAGUGAAACAUUUGACUCUUUGUUUUAUUAACUCCUAUGGAUAGUUAACAUUAUGUGGUAUAUGAAAGCCCAAGACUAGCUAAUCAAGAGGAGAGUGAAUUUGUUAUUGCAUCUUUCGAAAAUAAUUCUAAGCAUACAACCAACACUCACUUAAAUAUAGCAAUUAAUCAAAUAUUCGUAAAUAUGAAAAAGAGCAAAGACUAAAAUGAAAUCACAAGUAAUAAAUAAAAGCAGUCAAACGAUAUGAUAUGGAGGCUCGAUCCAAUACAAUGAUCUAUGUCCCCCGUUACCAAGUUUUCCAUCUCGAGCAAGCAUUUUUCACUAUACUGAUUGACUUAUGGUGCAAUCCAACCUUCUUACAACACUUUCGAUGACUUACAACCAAUGAGCAUUGAUCCUUUUACAAUAUUGAGAUUUUCGGGACCUCAACCUGACCCACAAGUUUGAAAAUAAAGAGUCUACAAAUAGAGUUAUCUCUUGUAAUGAAGGAUAUAUUCCAAGUUGAGUUCAAUAAGAGAAGUUGGCUAAUACUUUAGUAAAUAGCAAUAAUUGAAGUUAAAGUGUUAGAUAAGAAAAACUUUGAUGAAUAAAAUGAUUUUCAAAGGUUAAAUCCAUAAAAAGUUUUUCUAAUGUAAAUGAGUUGAAAAGAUAGAUAUAGAGAAAUGAUUGAGUAGUUAAGAUCGAUAGUAUCUUAGUUUAAUGCUCAUGAAGGUCUAUCCUUAAAUGCAAAAUGAUUUAAUAUUUAUAGCAGCAAAAUGGUCAUAAAUUCUGUUUUACCGGACGAGGGGACCGGAUGUCCUAUAGCUUACCAGACGGUUAACUAACCUUUUUUUUAGAAAUCAGAAAGUUCAAUUUCUAGACUUUUGGACAAACCUGCUGUACAGGACGUCCGCUAGGAUUAUCGAACCCGUCCUCUAGGCAAGAGUUACAGAUGCGUCUGCCAGAGUUACAAGACGCGUCCUCUAAGCCAGUUCGCGUCUGGCAGUUAGAAAUUUCCUUUUUUAAUGUUUUAUAAGGGUGUAAUCUCAUGAAAGAUGUUUCUAACUUGUUUUUCAAUAUUUUUGACAUUUCUUAAUUAGGUUCAUGCAUAAACAAUUAUUUAUGCAAAAAUUCAUGUUUGUUGUGCGAAUAAACUUUCUUGAGUUUCAAAUGAUGUAUUUGUCAAAUACUAAAGUGUUUUACCCUUACAUUUGAGAUCAUUGUUUGAUUUGAUGAAGUGCUCGUUGACUUGUUGUGUAGCUUGACUUCUACUUUGUUCAAUUUGCGAAAACUCCAAAAGCAUCCUUUUAUCUUCAAUUUACUACAUUUGUCAUAACUUUUAUAAUCACUCAAAUACAAUUGUUAGUAAUAAACAUAAUUUGUUUGUUAUAAUCAAAAUGAGAAGUCAACCAUAAGUCAAAAGUAUAUAUAUUCCGAACAUGUAGAUCUGAAUGAUUUUAAUGAAACGAUGACAUUUAUGACCAGCAUACAUAUUAAAUGCACGAUACGUUAUGAUAAGUUUGGAUGCCCAAGCAUAAAAGACCUUACACAUAUCUGAAUGGUUUUCACAAUUUGGGGCAAGGACAAGCACAAAACGGAACAUGUAACAAACAAAUGCAGUUGAAAUUGUUGCUUCAAUGAUAAAUUUGAUGCUUUCUUCAAUCCAAUUUCAGCUCUUGCGACUGAAGGGAUGAGCUGAAGGGAUUAGGAGAAUGUGAUAGAACCUCCAAUGAGUCUUCUAGGAGGAGAUGUCUCUAGACGUGGCCUUCCAGUCCCAAUGAAAGAGGUUCUCCUUUCUCCACCAUUUAACAUAAGAAACCAAAAUAUCCAACGCAAGACUUUGGGUGCAAAGAUCCUAUAUGGGAAAAAUAUGUUGUACUAGCUUGGAUAUUUCACAUAUAGAUCCCCUGUACAUGCAUCAGAGACAAUCAACUUUGCAAACUCCUCUACUGGACCACGAGAUACAUGUACCUUACACAAAAACCUCAAAAAAGUUAUGUUUAUUCUGGAAAUAUCAAAUGAGGCGUAAAGCAAGGAUUUAAAUAGCUCUAGUUUGUAUUCGAAUAAGUCAAGUUUUGCUGCCUUGGAUGGUUAAAGAUAAAUAUGAUUAUCAUAUCUCGAGAAAAGAUUACAUAUUUAACUUGUAUAUUUGAUAUAAAUUUCAAUAACUGUACUCAUGUCCCAUACAAAUUGCUAAACAUAUCCUAAAGCAAGAUGGUAUUCAAUUGAAAAAAGGAAAAAUACUAUUUAUAUCGGGUUGCAAAUAAUAAUAUGUUAGGCUGAAUUGAAAAGCUUUAAUCUGAUUGCUUGGUGGUAAUCAAAUGAUUUAGAGAGAACCCUUGUAUAUGUUACUGUAAGUGUUAUGCCCUAGAUUCAAUCGAUUUAGGUUGUAAACACUUUUAAUAUGUUUAAUACAUUUAAUUUGGCAAGAUCUAUUAUUUAUUUAAAUUAAUUUUGUGAUAAAUAAUAGUAAAUAAUAGAGUCCGAAGAUCCAAGUUUAAGAGAUUUGCUAAUUACAAGGAGUUGUGAUUGUGAGAUACAAAUUACGUAUGAUUGGAUCUUGAAUAAACUGUAGUCGUAAGUAAUAACGAGAUACGGAUAUCGUUAAUACAGAUAGACCAUCACGUGUGGCAUUUCUUACUUGUGAAGUGAGUAGCUGAUCUCUCGAGCUAAAGUGUGGUGACACUCAAAUGAACACGUGAAUAUUUUGUUAUAGAACAAAAUAUUGGAGACCUGCUAAGAGAUUCCACAUGGAUAAUUCUCUGAGUGUCAGUGGUUAAUCUCUAACGUUCGGAAGUAGAAUUGGUCCUAUGACUUGAGGUCAUCAUAGUGACUUGUAUGAAGACAGUCAUACUUUGAUGGUGUUGGAUGUUGCUCUACUAAGGGCCGCUAAUACGAUAUCGUUUGGGUAUGUCAAUAACUAUAUGAAGGUUGUGAAUGAUCAAUAGAGGAUUCGUCACUCUUAGAUAGUAAGAGAUUGUGAUCUGCAUUUCGUUUAAUUAAGUCAAUAACGAAAUCCUUGGCCAAGGUAUACAUAGAAGUCGAAAAGGAGUUUUCGACUCAUAUUGACUUAAUAGUAGAAUGAAAGAUAUGAUCGAUAAUCGAGAUUGACACACUUCCAUAUCUCGUAGUUGAUCGGAUCAUAUUGACGAAGGGAUUAUAAUUUCACGGUAAACGAAUAGUUUUGGUUUUGUCAUAUCACGUGACAUUUUUCGUCACAUGUGUUUCCCUAAUACAUUGCUAGAUGUCAAUCUGAGACGGCGAGUGUGAAUUUGCGAUAAAUUAAAAGGGUGUUUAAUUUAUCAGUUUUGAUUAGAUCAAAAUAAUAUUUCACGUUGUUAGGCAUCGUAGUCGGGAACCUAAUGGGUCGCACACAAAAGAGAAUUGAAAAAUUGCAAAUUGCCAAUUGAUCAAUUUAACAAUCGUUGGAUAAAUUAAUUAAUUAGAUUUGUUAUUUAUAUUCACGAAUUAAUUAAUUAGAUCAAUUAAUUUACGAACCGAGUUUAAUUAAAUGGAUUAAUUAAUUCACGGACCAAAUUUAAUUAAAUGGAUUAAUUAAAUAUUGGAUCGGACCAGGCCGAGCCGAGCCUGUUUGGGUUUAUAUAAAUACAUGGCUAGGGUUUGAGGUCCAUAAGGUUUUCAUUGUUUUUGCUGGCACAAGAGAAAAUACCCUAGUAGUUGCAGUCUAUUCUCUGUGUGGAUUUCAUUAGAGGCUGGACAAUUAGACAGCUGUGAGAGGUAGAUUCAAGUUGUUAGAAAAGAAUACUGCAAAGGAGGUUACAAAAUCAAGAAAAAUGUAUAUUUCUCAUCACAGUUCUCAUUUAAAUAUAAGACUAAAUCCUGAAUGAGAAUUGAAACUGUUUAAUUUCGCUGUGCAUGUUUAAGUAAAUUCCCAACAGUGGUAUCAGAGCCAACUUUGUAUUUGUUAAGAAUUGAUCUAUUUAUUAAUUAAAUUAAAAGUUGAUUUAAUCAUGCUUAUCCAUGAAUCUAGAAAUUGUAGUUUUAAUUUUAUUUUUUCAGAAUCUGAUUUUGAAAAAAAAAAAUUUGGAUCUAGGCGGCGGGUGGCGAAGUGCGGCUGCGCGCGCUGCCUGUAGCAGCGGGAUUAGCAGUGCCAGCGCGACGCAAUGCUACCUGCAGAGCCUUUGCGUUGCUGGUUGGCGGCUGGUCUUAUGUUCCGGCGUCGCCACUGGAGAAAACAAAAGAAAAAAAAAUUUAGGGUUUGGUUGGAGGCGGGGGCUUCCAUUGCAAUUAAUGUAAUUGCAAGCCCCCGCCUGCAAUUUCUGAAAGGGGGUCAAUUUGCAAUUUUUAAAUGGAGGGCUUUUCUGCAAUUUACGAAUAAUGAAGCCCCUAUUGUUAAUUUUUAAAUUGGGUCAAAUUUGCAAUUUCAAAAGGUGUUUUAAAUUUUGUAUUUUAAAAUGAUGUUUUAAUUUGGUUUGACCCAUACCCUAAUUUUGACCCAAAAUUAAAAUUUAUUUAAAAUUUGACGACUUUUAUAUUUUGUUAAAAUUAGAUUUUAACUUAAAUAUUUAAUUUUGACUGUUAAUUGAAUUUUAUUUUAUUUGGGAAUUUUGUCCUAAAUUAAAAUAUUAAUUCAAUUUUAUUAGAGUUGGACUCUAAUAUAAAAUUAAUUAAAAUUUGAUUUCAAUUAAUACCACUUCCCGAUGAAAAUUAAAAUUUAGAGUAUGACUCUAAUUUAAUAAUUAAUUAAAAUUCAAUUUUGAUUAAAUUACUUCGCCCAAUAGUUAUGGAAUUAGAAUUGGAUUCUAAUUCGGGAUUUAGUUAAAAUUUGAUUUUAAUUAAAUAGGCCUGCCAAUUAAGUUAAUUAAUUAAUUAAGUUAAUUAAUUAUUUAAUUAUUUCUAUCCAAAUUUUUGAAUUAGUUUUGAUGACUAUAAUUGCAAGAUUUAUGAGACAUUGCAUAUAAUAUUAGAGUUAUACAUAGGAAACAUUUAUGUGAUGAAUGUUUAUGGAUGAUUAUGGACUUGACCACAUGGAUGUGUUGAAUGGUUUAUUUACUUCUGAUUGUUUUAUGGGCCUGCGAGCUCUUUAUUAUAUUGGACAUGCGAAUCCGUUAUUAUUGUUAUUAUUAUGGGUCUGCAAGUCCGAUUUAUUUUAGGCCUGCAUGCCAACUAGUAUAGGAUACGUGUUGCAACUUGACUAAUUGAAGGCGCAAGAAGAGGUGGAAACCAUGGAGAUAGUGCAUUGGUGUUGAUCCAAUGUUGUACCCCUUAGAAAUUGACCAACUAGUCUUCCCUUUGGAUCGGGAAAACUAGAUAGAACAAGUUCAUAAUCAUCCAUACUAUUAUUUAUUUAUUCGCAUAGUAGAUGAAUGUUUAAGUAUAUAUGUAUAUAAUUACUUGAUGAGACCAUUGCACGUUAAAUCCCUCGUUAAAAUUUUAAAUUAGUAUUAUUUGCUUUCCAUCAUUAUAGUGAAAAACGAGAAUCCUAAAUCGACCUUAGCUUGUUGAGUACAUUCAAGGCUGGUCUAUUAGGGAUAUGUUUGGCACUAUGAAAUAAUUGAUAUUUCUGAAUGAUGGGUUUUACUUAACUAAAAUUUAUCUUUUGUUGAGUACACUCAAGGAGAUAAGUUUUAGAGGCAUGUUAAGCUAAUACAUAAGAUGUGUGAAGAUAAAAGAGUUGUCAGCUUAAUAAUCUGGGAGUUGUAUGGAGAUACAAUUAAUAAUAAUAUCUUUUAUUAAGAUUUGUUGAGUACACUCAAGAUCUUGAUACAACGAAUGGGAUCCCAGCCCACCCGGAAUCAAAUGUGAAUUCAAAUAAUUUAUGUAUGAGGGUCAUGAAUUUAUUUUAAAUAGUGGGAGCACGUUUAAUUAAAGUCCAUAUUGAAUUUGUACAUAUGCAUUAUAAUACAUAUUAAUUCUAUGUUUUUGGUCAUUUAAAAUUUUUGAAUCAUGAGUAAUCAUAUGAAUUUGAGAGGCAUACGGAAUGCCAAUAAACUGACCGGACCAAAUUUUCUCGAUUGGUACCACAAUUUGAGAGUUGUUCUCAAGCAUGAGAAAUUUGGAUAUGUUCUUGAGCAGUCCUUUCCAGUGGUGCCUACUGAAAAUUCCACUCAGGAAGAUGUGGCUGCUUACAACAAACACAGUGAUGACGAUAACACUGCGACAUGUGUGAUGCUUGCAGCUAUGUCACCUGAAUUGCAGAAGAAACAUGAGGGUAUGGAUGCUUACACUAUGAUUUUUCAUCUCAAAGAGUUGUAUAAUGAACAAUCUCGUGUGGAGAAGUAUGAGACCUCUAAACAACUAUACAGUGCAAAAUGGCAAAGGGAUCUUCUGUCAGUGCUCAUGUGCUGAAGGUGAUUGGUUUCAUUGAAAAAUUGGGUACAUUGGGUUUUAUCAUGGAUCAUGAACUAAGUAUUGACUUGAUUCUGCAAUCUCCGCCAGAUUGUUAUUCACAGUUCAUUAUGAACUUCAAUAUGAAUAAGAUCGAAUGCACACUCCUUGAGUUGCUUAAUAUGCUUAAAACUGUGAAGCCCAAUGUCAAGGCUAGCACUGGGCAUGUCUUAGCUAUUCAUUCCUCCAAGGGCACUAAGAGGAAAAUCAAAGGAAGUUUUAAGAAAAUAUCCAAAAAGGCUAAGGUCAAUAACAAAGCAGUCAAAGCAGGCAAGGACAAUACCAAAUCUGAUGACCCAUGCUAUUACUGUGGAGUGAAAGGUCAUUGGAAGAGGAACUGCAAGGCUUACCUCGCUAGUUUGAAGGGAAAGAAGUCUUCUGAAACUUCUACUUCAGGUAUUUUUGUUAUCGAGGUUAAUAUGUCUAUUUCAUUAGCUUCUUGGGUAAUAGAUACCGGAUGUGGAUCUCAUAUUUGUAUAAAUAUGUAGGGACUAAAGAGAAGUAGACCACUACAGAAAAGAAAAGUUGACCUGCGCACGGGAAAUGGAGCAAGAGUUGCUGCAUUAGCUGUAGGGACGUACUUCUUAUCAAUGCCUUCGGGCUUAGUAUUAGAAUUAGAAAAUUGUUAUUUUGUUCCCGCCAUUACUAAAAACAUUAUUUCUAUUUCGUGUUUGGACAUAAAUGAUUUUUCAAUUAAUGUUAAGAACAAUCGUUGUUCGUUUUAUAAAGAUGAGAGUUUUUAUGGUUGUGGUGUGUUGCAAAAUGGAAUUUAUAUUCUUAAUGCUUAGUCGUCUAUUAUGAAUAUAGAAAAUAAAAGGUAUAAAAGUGAUAAUCUAAAUAAUACAUACCUCUGGCAUUGCAGAUUGGGUCAUAUUAAUGACAAACGUAUUUCCAAAUUACAUAAAGAUGGAUACUUGGGGUUAACUGAUUUUGAAUCAUUUGACAAAUGUGAGUCGUGCCUGUUAGGCAAAAUGACCAAGUUCCCUUUUACUGGAAAAAGAGAAAGAACAACAAAACUGCUGGGACUAAUACAUACUGAUAUAUGUGGCAAUGUCAAUGACUGCCAGAGGUGAUUUCUCUUACUUCAUCACAUUCAUUGAUGAUCAUUCUAGAUAUAGUUAUGUGUAUCUAAUGAAAUUCAAGCAUGAAGCACUUGAAAAGUUCAAGGAAUUCAAACUUGAAGUAGAGAAAUAGACUGGUAAAAAUAUUCUAACGCUGAGAUCAGAUCGAGGUGGAGAAUAUUUAAAGGGAGAAUUUUUAAAUUAUCUAAAAGAGAAUGGGAUUCUCUUGCAGUGGACUCCGCCAUAUACACCGCAACAUAAUGGUGUAUCUGAACGGAGGAAUUACACUUUGUUAGAAAUGACGAUCUAUGAUGAGUCAUGCAAACAUCCCAACAUCAUUUUGGGGUCAUGCACUAAUUGUUGUGUGCUACACAUUUAAUCGUGUCCCAUCUAAAUCGGUCGACAAAACUCCGUACGAGUUAUGGAGAGGAAAAAGACCAAACUUAUCUCACAUGGGAGUUUGGGAUUUUGAUGCUUAUGUAAAGCGAAAUGAAUCAGAUAAACUUGAGGCUAAAUCUGAUAAAUACGUAUUUGUGGGAUAUUCAAAAGAGACAAUUGGAUAUCAGUUUUAUAACCCCGUUGAGAAGAAUGUGUUUAUCUCAAGACAUGUCAUAUUCCUAGAGAAAGAGUUUAUUCUAGGAGAGGGCAGUGGGAGCAAACUAGAACUUGAAGAAGUUUAAGAAUCCACUGAUACUGUUGACCAAUUAGACGAACCUGAGUCUGAUCCUACACGUGUUGACGGACAGACUCUUGAUCAGGAUGUAGAGAACCCUGAGGACACUCCAGCUCAACGUAAAUCAAGUAGGAUCAUUCAACGUCCCAGAAGGUACGAAUUCAUGAUUACUAAUCAAAUAUUAUUAGUCGAGGAUGAUGAACCUACAAAUUACGCAGAAACGAAGUCAAGUGUUGACUCGAAGAGAUGGCAAGAAGCCAUGAAAUCCAAAAUGAACUCAAUAUAUGAGAACAAGAUUUGGACUUUGGUCGACCUUCCAGGUAGGAUAAAAUCGAUAGGUUGUAAAUGGGUUUACAAGAAAAAGGUCGAUGUGGAUGGAAACGUCCAUACAUACAAAGCAAUGCUAGUAGUGAAGGGUUACACACAAAGACAAGGCGUUGACUUUGAUGAAACUUUUUCGCCUGUAGCCAUGCUAAAGUCCAUUCGGAUUUUGCUUGCAAUAGCUACAUACCAUGAUUAUGAGAUAUGGCAAAUGGAUAUCAAAACUACUUUCCUUAAUGGAAACUUACAAGAGGAGGUGUACAUAAUAUAGCCUGAAGAUUUUGAAUCCAAAGGAGCCAACAAAGUAUGUAAGCUAAAUCGAUCCAUUUAUGGAUUAAAGCAAGCAUCUAGGAGCUGAAAUCUUCGUUUUGAUGAGACAAUCAAAAAGUUUGAUUUUAUCAAAAAUGAAGAUGAACUGUGUGCUUACAAGAAGACAAGUGGGAGCGCGGUCGUAUUCUUAAUAUUAAAUGUCGAUGACAUAUUAUUAAUGGAAAACGACAUCUCAAUGCUUCAAUCGAUAAAAUUAUGGUUGUUAAAGAAUUUCUCCAUGAAAGAUACGGGAGAAGCAGCGUAUAUCUUGGGAAUCAAGAUCUAUAGAGAUAGAUCUAAAAGAUUAUUAGGCUUAUCCCAAUCUUCGUACAUAGAUAAAAUCUUGAGAAGAUUUAGUAUGGAAGAGUCUAAAAGAGGUUUAUAUUCCAUGUCACAUGGGAUUUACCUCUCAAAAGAUAUGUGUCCUAAAACACAUGAUGAAAGGAGUCGCAUGGAUUAGAUUCUUUAUGCUUCGACGAUAGGAUCUAUCAUGUAUGCGAUGCUAUGUACGAGACCAGAUGUUUCAUAUGCUCUAAGUGUUACGAGCAGGUUUCAAGCAAACCCUGGUGGGAAACACUGGAUAGCAGUUAAGAACACUCUUAAGUACUUGAGAAGGACUAAAGACGUGUUCUUGAUCUAUGGAGGAAAUGAACUGAAAAUUCAUGGGUAUACUGACGCCAGCUUUCAAACUGACAAAGAUGAUAGCAAGUCUCAAUUAGAAUAUAUGUUUACUCUCAACAAUGGAGCGGUUAGUUGGAAAAGUUCCAAAUAGGAGACAACCGCUGAGCAACAAUAGAAGCCGAGUACAUUGCUGCUUCUGAAGCAGCGAAGGAAACUGUCUGGAUCAAGAAGUUCAUUAAUGAACUUGGAGUCGUUCCUAGCAUUGUUGAUUCCAUACCUUUAUAUUGUGAUAACAAUGGAGCCAUCGCACAAGCAAAGGAACCAAGGUCUCAUAAACGAUCCAAACAUGUGCUAAGGCGAUAUCAUCUCAUCAGGGAGAUUAUACAAAGAAAUGACGUAACGAUUGAGUGAGUUCCCACAGAUGACAAUAUUGCAGAUCCACUGACAAAGUCGUUGUCACAAUAGAAAUAUGAUCGUCAUGUGGACGCUUAUGGUAUUAGAUACAUGAGUGAUUGGAUCUAGUGCAAGUGGGAGUUUGCAAAAGUUAUGCCCUAGAUCCAAUCGAUUUAGGUUGUAAACAUUUGAUAUGUUUAAUGCAUUUAAUUUUGGCAAGAUCUAUUAUUUAUUUAAAUUAAUUUUGUGAUAAAUAAUAUUAAAUAAUAGAGUCCGAAGAUCCAAGUUUAAGAGAUUUGCUAAUCACAAGGAGUUGUGAUUGUGAGAUACAAAUUACUUAUGAUUAGAUCUUGAAUAAAUCGUGGUCGUAAGUAAUAACGAGAUACGGAUAUCGUUAAUACAGAUAGACCAUCACGUGUGGCAUUUCUUACUUGUGAAGUGAGUAGCUGAUCUCACGAGCUAAAGUGUGGUGACACUCCAAAGAAACACGUGGAUGUUUUGUUAUAGAACAAAACAUUGGAGACCCGCUAAGAGAUUUCACAUGGAUAACUAUCUGAGUGUUAGUGGUUAAUCUCUAAUGUUCGGAAGUAGAAUUGGUCCUAUGACUUGAGGUCAUCAUAGUGACUUGUAUGAAGACAGUCAUACUUUGACGGUGUUGGAUGUUGCUCUACUAAGGGCCGCUAAUACGAUAACGUUUGGGUAUGUCAAGAGCCAUAUGAAGGUUGUGAAUGAUCAAUAGAGGAUUCGUCACUCUUAGAUAGUAUGAGAUUGUGAUCUGCAUUUCGUUUAAUUAAGUCAAUAACGAAAUCCUUAGCCAAGGUAUACAUAGAAGUCGAAAAGGAGUUUUCGACUCAUAUUGAUUUAAUAGUAGAAUGAAAGAUAUGAUCGAUAAUAGAGAUUGACACACUUCCAUAUCUCGUAAUUGAUCGGAUCAUAUUGACGAAGUGACUAUAAUUUCACGGUAAACGAACAGUUUUGAUUUUGUCAUACCACGUGACAUUUUUGGUCACAUGUGUUGCCCUGAUACAUUGCUAAAUGUUAAUCUGGGACGGCGAGUGUGAAUUUGUGAUAAAUUAAAAGGGUGUUUAAUUUAUCAGUUUUGAUUAGAUCAAAAUAAUAUUUCACGUCGUUAGGCAUCGUGGUCGGGAACCUAAUGAAUCGCACACAAAAGAGAAUUGGAAGAUUGCAAAUUGCCAAUUGAUUAAUUUAACAAUCGUUGGAUAAAUUAAUUAAUUGGAUUUGUUAUUUAUAUUCACGAAUUAAUUAAUUCACGGACUGGUUUAAUUAAAUGGAUUAAUUAAAUAUUAAAUCGGACCGGGCCGAGCCCGUUUGGGUUUAUAUAAAUAUAUGGCUAGAGUUUGAGGUCCAUAAGCUUUUCAUUAUUCUUGUUGGCACAAGAGAAAAAAUCCUAGCAGUUGCAGUCUAUUCUUUGUGUCGAUUUCAUUGAAGACUGGACAAUUGGACAACAGUGGAAUGCAGAUUUAAGUUGCUGGAAAAGAAUAAUGCAAAGGAGUUUGUAAAAUCUAGAAAAAUGUAUAUUUCUCAUCACAGUUCUUAUCUAAAUACAAAGCUGAAUUCUGAAUGAGAAUUUAAAAUAUUUAAUUUCAUUGUGCGUGUUUAAGUAAAUUCCCAACAGUUACUACUAGGUAUGAGGUCAAUUUACCUUUGUUUCUUCUUUCCAUUUCAUCUCUACACCUUCUUCCACAAUGAAUUAUUCCUCGGGUCAUUUCAGUUCCAAUCCAACAAUGGGUUGCAAUAGUUAUUCAGACUCCAUCCUUCACUUCAAACCUCAACGUCUCAUAGAAGUUCGCAAGUGCUGAUUUUGCAGCCUACUUGUGAAAAUAUGAGGAAAAAACAAAAAAGUUGUCAUUGCUCAGUGAUAUUAAGAGUUAAUUACUACAAGAGUUAAGAUGUUUUCCACACCAUUGAGUUAUUGCAGUUACUCAUUCAUUCUAAUAAUCCAAUGGGCUAUUGGAAAGGGAAGUCGGAAUCAAAGCAAUUACGUAGACACCAUAAAAACUCACAGAAUACAAGCUCAUCCUUGGCAAAGGUAACCAAUUUUCUGCUGGUGCAUUCACUACAACCCCAUCCACUCGUUUUUCGGAGAUAAGGGAUUGCAACAUAGGUUGGAUAAGCCUUAUCCCAAAAGUUUAUGUCUUGAUAAUAUACAACAACUUUAAACAAAGCUAAACCAUAAAAUAUAAAAUAUAUUGACUUGGAAACGAAAAAUAAUUUUUUUUCAAAAAAUCUAAGUUGAAUGAACUCUAGAAACAACUCGAAGGGCAUCUACUUUUAGACGAUACCAUUAAAAUGGGAAACAAGCUGGAGUCUGUAUCUUCCUCAAAGUAGAAAGUAUGUGCCAAACUUGUCGUGUUUACUAAAUGAUCCAUUGCAAGAGGAAACAAGAAAAAUUCAUGACUGAUGUUAUAUACAUGUAAGUUUGAGGGACAAGUACACAAUUGUAUUGUAAGUUUAUACUAGUGUGAAGAAAUGAAAAAGAAAGUACUCAAGUCAGUAAUACGAGAUCUCUCCUUUAUCCAAAAAAUAAAUACAAGCAGGCAUGGUUGAAGUAAAUCUUGUUUUAAUUGAUAAUACAUAUUUCAAAUUCUUAUAUCAUAUAAAUCUAAGCUUAGAGCAAUAGGCUCAAAUCUUCUCAUUUGUUAGGCAAAGAAUGGCAAAACAUAUUGAAAGGAAAAGGGUGUAAUGCUCAAGGCUUACCACACCCGAAAUAGUUGAUUGUCUCAUUGAUAAAUCUCCUACAGUCAUCUUCCUUGACAACAUCUACGGCCAUUAUCAACACAUGCCUUGCCCCCAGCAUUCUUGCACUCUCACUUAUUCCUCGAAUCCUAUGCUCUCUUCGAGCUAUUAAUACAAGAUUUGCCCUCCUCUUUGCAUACUCAUAAGCAAUUUUCUGUGGUUGUAAGAGAUGGUCAUUCUUAAAGUUUUCAAGGCACAAGUACAGGUGAAAGAAAAAUACUUUAUUUAAUCAUUUGCUUAAAUUUAUUCCAGCAUUAGACAAAUCAACGAGAAGUUCCUACAUUUCAUAAACAUCGAUGAUUUCUUAAUCUAAUACUUGAUUCCAUCCCAAAGACGAAUUUUUGUGCACAGAUGACAUCUAUAUCAUACUUUGCCUAUUUCCCUAAUUUUUAAAUCUUAAUUUUCAGAAUAGUACUGUAAAAAAUAUUGAAACUUGACAAGUAAUUAAAAAAGUCUUCAAUUCUAAAAUUUUGUUCAUUCUAAUNAAAUUAAAUAGCAAAGUAUGUGAACAAACAAUCUGCCAUUGUUCUACAUUCUUAAAGGCGUGAGCAUGGACGGUUCGGAUGAAGGUAAUUUCGACAUUUUAGUAUGCUUAUUGGACUUAUUUUAUCUGCAUCUUAUGUCACUUCUGGCAUUUUAUAUUUUGAAACAUGAUUAUAUUUCUACAUUCUUAUUUCUUUUUUUAGUGUAAUAAUUGGACCAUAAAAAUUGAAGUUGUGCGACAACUGAUUUGGAAAAGAUGUUUGUAAUAUUUAAUUAAUGUGAAAACAACUAGUUAUAGUGGAGUCCGUCAAACUUUAGUAGAAAAUGCAUGCUUUUUGUUUUUGUGUUUUUUAUAGCUGGGGAAGCUUGCUCUUAUUAACAAUUUUCCCAUGUAGCGCUUAAAUGUAAGACGGGCAAAUGACCGACACGAUAGAAAUGCGAAUGGUUGCCAGUGAAGAUCAAGUGACAAAUGAACGAAAAGAACAAGGGUUCCAAUUCAUUUCGACUCUCAUGAUGACAUGUGAAGUGCGGAGAGGAUGCAUGCAAGCUAGACCAGUAUCUACUUUUCCCAGGCAGUUCGUUGCAUCUCAUGUUCCAACUCAUAAAGGCGAGAAUGAAUCGUAUGACAUAGAAGACAUGGUUUGUGCGAUGCUAUCAACAUGAAGAGGAGAUCCGAAUGUUGGGACAAACACACAGUCACGCACAAAAUGAAUUGGAACAUAAAAUUCAUUAUGAUGUAAAUGGAUUUUUUUGUAAAUGAUGCUGCGAUUUAUGUGAAUCAAUACCUGUAGGAAUUUACAUUUUUUCCUUUUUGGUGUCUAUCUGGUAUUAUAUUUUAUCUACAUCCAUCUAGGUGAAACGAAAGUUAAUUGAUGUGCAUUUUCAAUUGGAUAGCACUAUUUGCACAUAGUUUUUUAUACAUUAAGGUAUUCGUACACUCACAUGGGGUGGGACCCACUUUGAUAAAAUAUUCGAGCGAGCCCCAUCCCACAUGAGUGUGGAACACUUUGAUGUACAAAAAAUUAUAUACAUUAAGCAAAGCCCUUUUCAGUUUGGCCAUGCAAGUAAAGGAUAUCUGCAUCCAUCUAGGAGAAAGGGAAAUUAGUACCAGCAUAUAUUCCUUCGACCAUGCAAGUAAGUUUGUCGAGUAUACUAGACGGAAUGCUAAAGAGUGAUGGAGGUAAAGCAUUUGUACAAAGUUGAAUGAGAUUUCACAGAUAUUUUAAAGUUCGGUGAAGCUUUGAAGAUUCGACUAGAAGUUCACUUAUAUUUGAAAUGAUGAAUCCUUUAUUCGAGAUAUCAUGGGAAAAAUCACUCCAAAACCAAUAAAUGUAGCCCAGAAACUAGCAAUGCCGAUUACAAUAACAAAAUGAAUUUUACAUUGCAAAAACUAGUCCAGAAAUCUUGAUACGGUCGUACUAAAAACACUACAAGAUUACAAUAACAAUGGUAAACCAUGUCCAUUACAAUUUAAUCUUUUUAACGAAUAACAUAAGCGGUUCAAUUUCAAUGAGCUCUUCCCUCUUGUUUCUCGUUCUUUUUAUCUCAUUUUCCCUUGUGUAUAGUACCAUUGAAUGAGAUCCCCACGUCCUUUUCUCCAUAGCAACAUUCAUCUUUUCCCUUCAAUAAUUUAUUCUUGAAAAAAUGGGACAAACAAACCUUCUAGGCUGAUUGCUUAAUUGGAAAUAGAGCCCUUCUUACAUUGCCAAAUGCUACAUGUAUCAUAGCAGAGUCAGCUUUGAGUUACUUUGGGAUAAAGUUGGCUCAGAUAACAAAACUCACAAUAUUAAAAGAUAUUUCUGGGAUCAUAAAACCAUCCAGGUAAAUUUCUGGACUUUGAUUUAAAAUGCAAAAAAAUGUACCAAACAAAGUAAAAAAUUAUGUUUCUUUGCUGCUGGUGUCAUAGGAUGACCCUUCUUUUAAGACCACCAUCCUCUGGUAGAACUACCUUUCGACUCUAGCAGGACAUUAAACUCUAACUUAAAGAUGACUAAUCAAUAGCUAAGUUUACGAUAAUUCUAUGAAGUCAGUAGUUAAAUGUUUAAACUUUCAAUUCACUUUUCAAAAUGUUGAAUAGGCAAGUGGAGAGAUCAAUUACAAUGGACAUUGGCUCAAUGAAUUUGUCCUUCUGAAAACAUCAAUAUACAUAGGCAAAAAUGAUGUUCAUGUUGUUGAAAUGAUAGUAAGAGAAACACUAGAUUUCUCUACAAGGUGCUAAAGGGUUGGAUCUCGAUAUACUACUUCCGAUUAAAUUCCAUGUGGCCCAUUGAUCUACUGUGAAAUUAAUCAUGGCUUUCUAACUGUAUUUUUUAGCGGUUCAUCAUAUUUUAUUAUUGAUGACUAAAUUGUAUAUUGUUUCUUUCCAGCUUUUACUGGGACAAAUAAUAUAGAGAUUAUAGCUGCAGCAAACACAAAUCUAAGGAUCAAGGCCUGAGGGACAUGUGGUGAGUACGAACCAAAAUAACAAUCAUUUGAGAGUAGAUAUUGAUAGUGAAUCAAUAUCAGACGAAAUCGAGAAGGUAGCGAUCAAAUUUUACCUUUAAUUCAGUUCAAAUCACGGUCGCGAUUCAACAAACUGUUGAUUAUUGUAUCUGCAGUUCAAAUUUCGGCAGAUUGUUUGUACUCUUCUCACCGAUUGAAUUGAUAUCUGAAGUUAGGGUUCUUGAGUUGAAGUUGGGGAUUGCAACCAAGAACAAUUGAUUUGGGGAAGAUGAUUGGUUGAGGUAAAAUUAGGGUUUUUC
rnacentral:lncRNA from 1 species